UACGUAGGCAGCAAGCGUUGUUCGGAGUUACUGGGCGUAAAGGGUGUGUAGGCGGGUCUUUAAGUCAGGGGUGAAAUCCUGGAGCUCAACUCCAGAACUGCCUUUGAUACUGAGGAUCUUGAGUUCGGGAGAGGUGAGUGGAACUGCGAGUGUAGAGGUGAAAUUCGUAGAUAUUCGCAAGAACACCAGUGGCGAAGGCGGCUCACUGGCCCGAUACUGACGCUGAGGCACGAAAGCGUGGGGAGCAAACAGG
rnacentral:rRNA from 1 species